UCCUUUCCUCCCCGACCGAUGGAGCACCACCGAUUUCCCCAACCAAAUCUGGCGGAAUCCUUCUCCACCUCCCUCCUCCCGUGCCUACCCCGGCCUCCCACCACCGUGCCAUCGACGAUGCCGCCACGCUACUCCACCUUACCCUCCUUCACACCCAUCCCAUCGUCGCUGCGCCAAACCAAAGGCACCUAGGAUCCGAGCUCCCGAGCAGCACCGAGUUCGGCGAUGGCCAUCGGUUCAGUGCAGCUCGGAGGCUUUGGUUCAGUCCCCACCGCGUUUGUCGUCUCCGGUGUGGACUGCUGCAACAACGCCGCGUGGUGCUUCGUGGCGCUUGCAGUUCCUGACCGUGAGCGCCAUCGGUCGUCCCUCACAGCGAUUCGAUCGCCACAAGCCCCGGACGUGGCCAUCAGCACCGGAUCCGGUGGCCACGGUCCCGGAAACGACCAUUAGCACCGGAUCUAGCGCCGCCACUGAAGCCACGCCGGCCAUCUACGCACGAGCAACUCCGGCGUUGGGGCGCACCGGGAACCGCCACGCCUUGCUCCUCCUGCACGCCGGAGAUGUGAAGGGGAGGAUCCCCUAACUCCCCUGCCAACCGUCGCGGCAUGCAACCUCCUCUCCCUUCGAGCUCGCCGACCCCCUCGUCUCCUAUAGCCGUGUAGUCCGGCGACCAUAGCCGUUCAGUCCGCAGCCGUGGCCGUGCAGCUCAGACAAGUGCGCAAACGCAAUGAAGUUCCUUGCUCGUGCGCGUGCUGCUCGACGAACACAACUGCACUGCAGCUUCUAGAUGGUGGACUGCGGAAGGUGCGGGGCUCCUCCGACAUGCUCCGGUGGCCAAGUCCUUCCCCUCUGUGUUGCUCGUUGCCUGAUUCAUGACACCAGCGGGCCAAAAGAGGAGGAGAGGGCGACGACCUACCUCUACGUCUAUGCCUUAGCUCACGGGUGUGCCUCAAGUUUACUGAGGGAAUACAACAGAAAUUUCCCGAUUCAUAUAACUCCAAAAAAGGAUUGGUGAUUGCCGAGUUGCACUUGGCUCCAGCGACAUUCAGGACGGCCUUGUCAACCUUGUCCCUUGCCAGAAACAAGAUCUCGUAGCCUUCCGGUUUCUCAAACCAACACAGCUCGAGAAACUCUAUGCCCCCGAGGCACCCAACUCUCUUCAGCAAGGCACAGAAAAGAUCAUCAAUGUCGGGCUGUUCAGCAGGAAACUGAACCGAACAAGACAUUCACGAUAAGACAGUGAAUCCAUGCCCUUCCUCCUCUCCUCCACAGCGGGACAACAACCGGAUGAUGGCAUGCAGUUCCUUAACUCCUAACUGCGGUUCAGGAAGCUUUGGUGUUCAGUCUGAUUUUUGUUGGCGCGCGGUUCAGGCGGCCUGGGUGUGCAUUCAGAUUGCAGUUCACCGGCGAGAUCCUAGCCGCCAUGCAGCAGGGCCAGCGAGACCCACCCUAUGU